UACGGAGGUCUCAACCGUUGUUCGGAUUCAUUGGGCGUAAAGGGUGCGUAGGCGGUCGUGCAAGUCGGAUGUGAAAUCUCAGGGCUCAACCCUGAAACUGCAUUCGAUACUGCGCGGCUAGAGUGCUGGAGGGGAGACUGGAAUUUACGGUGUAGCAGUGAAAUGCGUAGAUAUCGUAAGGAAGACCAGUGGCGAAGGCGAGUCUCUGGACAGCAACUGACGCUGAGGCACGAAGGCCAGGGGAGCAAACGGG
rnacentral:rRNA from 1 species